CUACGGGGGGCAGCAGUAGGGAAUAUUGCUCAAUGGGGGAAACCCUGAAGCAGCAACGCCGCGUGAGUGAAGAAGUAAUUCGUUACGUAAAGCUCUAUCAGCAGGGAAGAAAAUGACGGUACCUGAGUAAGAAGCCCCGGCUAACUACGUGCCAGCAGCCGCGGUAAUACGUAGGGGGCAAGCGUUAUCCGGAUUUAUUGGGUGUAAAGGGAGCGUAGACGGUGCGCCAAGUCUGGAGUGAAAUGCCGCAGCUUAACUGCGGAACUGCUUUGGGAACUGGCGAACUAGAGUGCGGGGGGGGUAGGCGGAAGUGCGAGGGUAGGUGGGGAAUGCGUAGAGAGGAGGAGGAACGGCGAGGGCGAAGGCGG
rnacentral:rRNA from 1 species